rnacentral:rRNA from 1 species
GUAAUCACUUGUCUUCUAAAUAAAGACUAGUAUGAACGGCUAAAUGAGGACAAAACUGUCUCUUAUGACUAAUCAGUGAAACUGAUCUACCAGUACAAAAGCUGGUAUUAAUACAUAAGACGAGAAGACCCUGUGGAGCUUAAAACAAACCACUACCCCCAUGAGACCCCUAGUGCACUGUUUUAAGUUGGGGCGACUUCGGAACAAAACAAAACUUCCGAGCACAGAUCCACCAGAUCAAACCAAGGCCUACAAGCCAAAAUAAAAACUGACCCGGCCCAAGCCGAUCAACGAACCAAGUUACCCCAGGGAUAACAGCGCUAUCUUCUUCAAGAGUCCAUAUCGACAAGAAGGUUUACGACCUCGAUGUUGGAUCAGGACACCCAAGUGGUGCAGCCGCUACUAAAGGUUCGUUUGUUCAACGAUUAACAGU